AUCGCUUCUCGGCCUUUUGGCUAAGAUCAAGUGUAGUAUCUGUUCACGUCAGCUUAAUAAAAAAUAAAAAAAAAAUUUUUAAUGUUUUUAUUAUUGAGACAUA
rnacentral:snRNA from 1 species